UAUAAGAGUUGUUCCACAUUUGUAAGUAAAGAAGAGUAAAGCAAAGAUAGAGAAUUUAACAAACUUAGAGUAAAGAAAAAUGAGUUGGUGAAGUAUCAAGAGAGUUUGCCUACCUUCCUUUGGUGUCAAUAUCUGCAACAAUGUAUGAUAUAAAUUUCAAUCAUCAAACAACUUUCAAUUUCUAGCAUAAAAGUUUCUAUUCCUUUCAAAUCUCACAUGCCUGAAAAAGAUAGUAAAGAAUAUCAUGCAAAAUGGUAUGCAACUAUCCAUUUUCAUGGUAGGAUUUGCAGAUGUUUGUGCCCAACCACCCACUAAUGUUCAGUCACGCUUUCAAAAAUCAACAGGCUACCGUUAGAACUUAAUUCCUAUGUACUAACCGAGAUGGACUCAAUUGGUGAGAUCCAAUAAACAAACCUGAUCCCGAACUCCAUAAUUG
rnacentral:misc_RNA from 1 species